CAAAUUAGAGCUUGAUUAAGCAUUUCAUUUACAUUGAAAAGAUAUUAUUAACUUAUUUAAUUUGA
rnacentral:tRNA from 1 species